rnacentral:sRNA from 1 species
GCCUGGUGUGGUGGUGCACACCUGUAAUCCCAGUGGCUCAGGAGGCUGAGGCAGGAGGUUUACAAGUUCAAAGCCUCAGCAAUUUAUUGAGACCCUAAGCAACUCAGUGAGAACCUGUCUCUA